UACAGAGACUGCGAGCGUUAUUCGGAUUCACUGGGCGUAAAGGGUGCGCAGGCGGCCAGGUGUGUGAGGCGUGAAAGCCCGGGGCUUAACCCCGGAACUGCCUUCGAUACUGCGGGUCUCGAGUCCGGGAGAGGUGAGUGGAAUUCCUAGUGUAGAGGUGAAAUUCGUAGAUAUUAGGAAGAACACUAGUGGCGAAGGCGGCUCACUGGCCCGGUACUGACGCUGAGGCGCGAAAGCGUGGGGAGCAAACAGG
rnacentral:rRNA from 1 species